UCCCUGGAGGACUAGUGGUUAGGCCACGGCGCUCACUGCUGUGGCCCGGGCUCGAUUCCCGCACAGGGAA
rnacentral:tRNA from 1 species